CAGAGUAAGGCUUCGGGCGUGUGAGAUUCACGAAGUGUCCUGCGGACGGGGAGUUGCCGCAGGAACGAACGGACAUUCCGGCGAUCCGAGGUCUGCAUCCCGCUGU
rnacentral:ncRNA from 1 species